UUUUAGUUCAAUCAUGUAUGCAGAAAUUGUUGUAAUUGAGCCACAUUAGAGGGUGAGCAUGAACCGCCUUUAAGGUCAUGCCACAGCAUCUCAGUAGGAUUCAGGUCAGGACUUUGACUAGGCCACUCCAAAGUCUUCAUUUUUUAUUUCUUCAGCUAUUCAGAGGUGGACUUGCUGGUGUGUUUUGAAUCAUUCUUGAGGUCGCAAACAGAUGGCCAGACAUUGUCAUUCAGGAUUUUUUGGUAAACAGCAGAAUUCAUGGUUCCAUUUAUCACAGCAAGUCUUCCAUUCAACUUAUGCCUUAUCAGUCCACAGAGUCUUUUACCUAAAGUCUUGGGGAUCAUCAAGAUGUUUUCUGGCAAAACGGAGAUGAGCCUUUAUGUUCUUUUUGCUCAGCAGGAGUUUUC